UAAAGCUGUCAGCAGGGGGAAUAACACAGGGCUGUGAAUGAGUCCUGUCACUGUGAUCAGGCUCCUCCUUCUAAUCCACCAACUUAGUGUUGAUGAAGACUAAACAGAGAGAUCACAGCUUCUUUAUACUUGCUGUAGCUCACAGUUACUCUACACUGCAGAUAUGACGCCUCUGUUCAUCUCAGUGCUGCUGGCUGCUAUGUGCCUCGAAUGCAGAGCACAAAAAGACAACGUGCUGCAAGCAAAAGGAGAAGAGACUGCUGCUGCAGGAGGCACAGUAACACUUCACUGUCUCUAUAACAGCAGCAGUUUAACAGGCACUUCCCUCUUCUGGUACAAACAGGAUGGAAACAACAGCCCCACAUUCAUCCUGAGUCGUGUUAGCAGGGAUGAUGGAAACACAGAAGACGAGUUCAAGGAGAGAUUUUCCUCCACACUGGAUUCCAGCAUCAGAUCAGUUCCUCUGAAGAUCCAGAAGCUUCAGCUGUCUGACUCUGCUGUGUACUACUGUGCUCUGCAGCCCACAGUGACAGGAAACACCAAAACUCUGUACAAAAACCUUUGGAGCAAAGACAACAGAAUACUCCACAACAUCCACUAGAGGGAGC